GGGGGGUCGUGCGUCUCGAGUAUAUAUAUCAUGUACUCUCUGACCACAAACAAAGGCCAUGCCGGCGAGUGGCGCACUUGGUGAGUAAUGCAUCGGAACGUGCCCAUGUUGUGGGGGAUAACUACGCGAAAGCGUAGCUAAUACCGCAUAAGCCCUGAGGGGGAAAGCGGGGGAUUCUUCGGAACCUCGUGCGAUUGGAGCGGCCGAUGUCGGAUUAGCUAGUAGGUGAGGUAAAGGCUCACCUAGGCGACGAUCCGUAGCGGGUCUGAGAGGAUGAUCCGCCACACUGGGACUGAGACACGGCCCAGACUCCUACGGGAGGCAGCAGUGGGGAAUUUUGGACAAUGGGCGCAAGCCUGAUCCAGCCAUGCCGCGAGAGUGAAGAAGGCCUUCGGGUUGUAAAGCUCUUUCGGCCGGGAAGAAAUCGCAUUCUCUAACAUAGGAUGUGGAUGACGGUACCGGACUAAGAAGCACCGGCUAACUACGUGCCAGCAGCCGCGGUAAUACGUAGGGUGCGAGCGUUAAUCGGAAUUACUGGGCGUAAAGCGUGCGCAGGCGGUUUUGUAAGACAGAUGUGAAAUCCCCGGGCUCAACCUGGGAACUGCGUUUGUGACUGCAAGGCUAGAGUACGGCAGAGGGGGGUGGAAUUCCACGUGUAGCAGUGAAAUGCGUAGAGAUGUGGAGGAACACCGAUGGCGAAGGCAGCCCCCUGGGCCUGUACUGACGCUCAUGCACGAAAGCGUGGGGGAGCAAACAGGAUUAGAUACCCUGGUAGUCCACGCCCCUAAACGAUGUCGACUAGUCGUUCGGAGCAGCAAUGCCACUGAGUGACGCAGCUAACGCGUGAAGUCGACCGCCUGGGGAGUACGGCCGCAAGGUUAAAACUCAAAAGGAAUUGACGGGGGACCCGCACAAGCGGUAGAUGAUGUGGAUUAAUUCGAUGCAACGCGAAAAACCUUACCUACCCUUGACAUGUCUGGAACCUUGCUGAGAGGCGAGGGUGCCUUCGGGAGCCAGAACACAGGUGCUGCAUGGCUGUCGUCAGCUCGUGUCGUGAGAUGUUGGGUUAAGUCCCGCAACGAGCGCAACCCUUGUCACUAGUUGCCAUCAUUUGGUUGGGCACUCUAGUGAGACUGCCGGUGACAAACCGGAGGAAGGUGGGGAUGACGUCAAGUCCUCAUGGCCCUUAUGGGUAGGGCUUCACACGUCAUACAAUGGUCGGUACAGAGGGUUGCCAAGCCGCGAGGUGGAGCCAAUCCCUUAAAGCCGAUCGUAGUCCGGAUCGUAGUCUGCAACUCGACUACGUGAAGUCGGAAUCGCUAGUAAUCGCAGAUCAGCAUGCUGCGGUGAGUGCGUUCCCGGGUCUUGUACACACCGCCCGUCCCACAAAUGGGAGUGGGUUCUCCUGAAGUAGAACUUAUAGCGGUGACGGUUGACCUAUAGUUUUUGCCCUCGCCAUC
rnacentral:rRNA from 1 species